AUGGACAUGAGGGGCUGCACACUGCUCUUGGGGCUUCUGGUGCUGUGGCCAUCAGGUUCCAGAUGUGACAUCCAGAUGUCACAAACUCCAUCCUUCCUGUCUGCAUCUCUGGGAGACAGAGUCACCAUUUCCUGCAGGGCCAGUCAAGAUAUUGACAAUUACUUAAGCUGGUACCAGAAGAAACCAGGGGAAAGUCCCAAACUCUUGAUCUACUAUACAUCCAAUUUAGAAACCGGGGUCCCAUCCAGGUUCAGUGGCAGUGGAUCUGGGGCAGAGUAUUCUCUCACCAUCAGCAACCUGGAGUCAGAAGAUGCUGCAACUUAUUACUGUCUGCAAUAUGAUGAGUACCCUACCCACAGUGGUACAUGUCGUAUCAUAAACCCCAAGAAAGCAGAAGUGUGA